rnacentral:sRNA from 1 species
GGGGUAUCCUCACUUGAGUGGAGAUCUGGGGGAUACCGUUUUAGUCUUGGGGGUAGAGUGACUGCUUGCGAGCCAGUUCAGCAGUGCCUCAGAGACAGAGUCAGGCUGGAGGGGAAUCUGGAUCUGGGCAGCUCCUGGACCUCCUGGACCAAGAGAAUGGAGCAAGGGAAUCAGCGCUGGUCUCCGUCUAUGUACAUCUGGACCUUUCAGAUAAGACCUGGCCCUCUGAACUCUCCAGGACGCUGACUCUCCCUGCUGCCUCAGCUUCCUCUUCCCCAAGGCCUCUUCUCACUGGCCUCAGACUCACAACAGAGUGUAAGGUCAGCCACGAGGGGAAUUUCUAUUGUGCUUGCCUCUCUGGCUACCAGUGGAACACCAGCAUCUGCCUCCAUUACCCUCCUUGUCAAAGCCCCCACAACCACCAGCCUUGCGGCUGCCUUGUCUUCAGCCAUCCCGAACCCGGGUACUGCCAGUUGCUGCCACCUGGGUCCCCUGUCACCUGCCUCCCUGCAGUCCCUGGGAUCCUCAACCUGAACUCCCAGCUGCAGUUGCCUGGUGACACGCUGAGCCUGACUCUCCGUCUGAGCCAGGAGGCCACCGACCUGAGCUGGUUCCUGAGGCACCCAGGGAGCCCCAGUCCCAUCCUCCUGCAGCCAGGGACACAGGUGUCUGUGACUUCCAGCCAUGGCCAGGCUGCCCUCAGCGUCUCCAACAUGUCCCAUCACUGGGCAGAAAUCCUUCUUGGGGACAGGGAAUGUCCACCAAACGGGCCAUCCUGGGACCUUGCUUGCUGGGGUUAAGCACUGGGUGGCAGGCAGAGGACGGGAGCAAGGCUGUGGCUUGGAAGGCAGCAGAGAUUCUGUGGUACAGCAAGGCCCAGAGGAGCCACAAACUGCAGCACACAUGUGUCUGCAGCUGUCCAUCUCCUGUGCCACCUCCCCUGGCUUCCAACUGAGCUGCUGCAUCCCCAGCACAAACCUGGCCUACACUGCAGCCUGGAGGCCUGGAGAGGGCAGCAAAGCCUCCUCCUUCAACGAGUCAGGCUUUCAGUGCUUUGUUUUGGCUGUUCAGCGCUGCCCGAUGGCUGACACCACGUACACUUGUGACCUGCAGAGCCCGGGCCUGGCUCCACUCAGGGUCCCCAUCUCCAUCACCAUCAUCCAGGAUGGAGACAUCACCUGCCCUGAGGAUGCCUCGGUGCUCACCUGGAAUGUCACCAAGGCUGGCCACAUGGCACAGGCCCCAUGUCCCGAGAGCAAGAGAGGCAUAGUGAGGAGGCUGUGUGGGGCUGACGGAGUCUGGGGGCCCGUCCACAGCAGCUGCACAGAUGCGCGGCUCCUGGCCUUGUUCACUAGAGCCAAGCUGCUGCAGACAGGCCAGGGCAGUCCUGCUGAGGAGGUGCCACAGAUCCUGGCACAGUUGCCAGGGCAGGCGGCAGAGGCAAGUUCACCCUCCGACUUACUGACCCUGCUGAGCACCAUGAAACACUUGGCCGACGUGGUGGCAAAGGCCAGGAUACAGCUUGACCGCAGCGCCCUGAAGAAUCUCCUGAUUGCCACAGACAAGGUCCUAGAUAUGGACACCAGGUCUCUGUGGACCCUGGCCCAAGCCCGGAAGCCCUGGGCAGGCUCGACUCUCCUGCUGGCUGUGGAGAACCUGGCAUGCAGCCUGUGCCCACAGGACCACCCCUUCGCCUUCAGCUUGCCCAAUGUGCUGCUGCAGAGCCAGCUGUUUGGACCCACGUUUCCUGCUGACUACAGCAUCUCCUUCCCUACUCGGCCCCCACUGCAGGCUCAGAUUCCCAGGCACUCACUGGCCCCACUGGCCCGUAAUGGAACUGAAAUAAGUAUUACUAGCCUGGUGCUGCGAAAACUGGACCACCUUCUGCCCUCAAACUAUGGACAAGGGCUGGGGGAUUCCAUCUAUGCCACUCCUGGCCUGGUCCUUGUCAUUUCCAUCAUGGCAGGUGACCGGGCCCUCAGCCAGGGAGAGGUCAUCAUGGACUUUGGGAACACAAAUGGUUCCCCUCACUGUGUCUUCUGGGAUCACAGUCUCUUCCAGGGAAGGGGGGGUUGGUCCAAAGAAGGGUGCCAGGCACAGGCGGCCAGUACCAGCCCCACUGCUCAGUGCCUCUGCCAGCACCUCACUGCCUUCUCCGUCCUCAUGUCCCCACACACUGUUCCAGAAGAACCCGCUCUGGCGCUGCUCACUCAAGUGGGCUUGGGAGCUUCCAUACUGGCGCUGCUUGUGUGCCUGGGUGUGUACAGGCUGGUGUGGAGAGUCGUGGUGCGGAACAAGGUCUCCUAUUUCCGCCACGCUGCCCUGCUCAACAUGGUGUUCUGCUUGCUGGCCGCAGACACUUGCUUCCUGGGAGCCCCCUUCCUCCCUCCAGGGCCCCAAAGCCCGCUCUGCCUUGCUGCCGCCUUCCUCUGUCAUUUCCUCUACCUGGCCACCUUUUUCUGGAUGCUGGCGCAGGCCCUGGUGUUGGCCCACCAGCUGCUCUUUGUCUUUCACCAGCUGCCGAAGCACCGAGUUCUCCCCCUCAUGGUGCUCCUGGGCUACCUGUGCCCACUGGGGUUGGCGGGUGUCACCCUGGGGCUCUACCUACCUCAAGGGCAAUACCUGAGGGAGGGGGAAUGCUGGUUGGAUGGGAAGGGAGGGGCAUUAUACACCUUCGUGGGGCCAGUGCUGGCCAUCGUAGGUGUGAAUGGGCUGGUACUAGCCAUGGCCAUGCUGAAGUUGCUGAGACCUUCGCUGUCAGAGGGACCCCCAGCAGAGAAGCGCCAAGCUCUGCUGGGGGUGCUCAAAGCCCUGCUCAUUCUCACACCCAUCUUUGGCCUCACCUGGGGGCUGGGCCUGGCCACUCUGUUAGAGGAAGUCUCCACGGUCCCUCAUUACAUCUUCACCAUUCUCAACACCCUCCAGGGCGUCUUCAUCCUGUUGUUUGGUUGCCUCAUGGACAGGAAGGUACAAGAAGCUUUGCGCAAACGCUUCUGCCGCGCCCAAGCCCCCAACUCCACCAUCUCUCUGGCCACAAGUGAAGGCUACAUCCUGGAACACAGCAAAGGAGGAAGCGACACUGCCAGGAAGACAGAUGCUUCAGAGUGAACCACGCACAGACCCACGUUCCUGCAAGGGAGUUGAGGCUGUGUGCUUGAACCCACCAGAUGAGCCCUGGCCCAAUGCUCUGAACUCUUCCCGCCUUCCGGAGCUCAGCCCUUGAGAAAGGCAGGCUUAUAUUUCCCUUAGUGACACUCAUUUAUCUUACAGCUCACGCCUUCUCAUUUCUAAAGUAUCCAGCAAGAAUAGCAGGAAAAAUUAGCUAAAGGCACCUAAUGAAUAAGCCUGCCUUUGCUCCAGAAAUAAUCAACAGAUAUCAAAGUGCAGAAUAAUUACAAGUAAACUUUCUCAACCAGUUUUUAACUACAACAAUACAUGUUGUGAAUGAAUAUAUUUGAUAAAAAUGGUUUUAAUUGACCUAUUCAGUGAUUUCUGAUUAUUUCUUUUUCAAUAGUUAUGAAGAAAGGAUGACUUAAUUGACAGGAAUCUCUGAUCUUCCCAACAUUGAGGAUGAAGGGCAGAAUUUGAUUUGUCUCUUUUCAAGUUUAGGAAAAGAUGAAAUUAAUUAGUCCCUCUUUCUUUAACCUUUAAAAAAAUCAAUAUAAAAUGUAAGUUUCAUAACCAUAUCCAUGUAUAGAGGCAUUGAUUGAUAUGAGCAUGUUGUAAGAAUAGGUUAUAAAAAUUUAAAGUUUAAUAUAAAUUUAUAUCAAUUAAUAAAGUUUAAUUUAUAUUUAAAAAUGAAUACUAGAAGAAAAUCUUUUUGAAGACACCAAGAUAUCUAUCCGGCUGAAUUAACUUAUGGAAUUCACAAGAGGAAGAUGACAGGAUUCUGAGAAAUUUUUAAACUAGAUACAUGAAAAAAGUCUGAUGAAUCGGUCUUUGUUAAUUAUGCAAUUCAUGGAUAUUUUUUAUAAAAUGGGACGGGGGCAUUUUCUGUUAAAAUAAAAAUGGGUACGCUAUCACG